GAUGAACGCUGGCGGCGUGCCUAAUACAUGCAAGUCGAGCGAACAGACGAGGAGCUUGCUCCUCUGACGUUAGCGGCGGACGGGUGAGUAACACGUGGAUAACCUACCUAUAAGACUGGGAUAACUUCGGGAAACCGGAGCUAAUACCGGAUAAUAUAUUGAACCGCAUGGUUCAAUAGUGAAAGACGGUUUUGCUGUCACUUAUAGAUGGAUCCGCGCCGCAUUAGCUAGUUGGUAAGGUAACGGCUUACCAAGGCAACGAUGCGUAGCCGACCUGAGAGGGUGAUCGGCCACACUGGAACUGAGACACGGUCAAGACUCCUACGGGAGGCAGCAGUAGGGAAUCUGCCGCAAUGGGCGAAAGCCUGACGGAGCAACGCCGCGUGAGUGAUGAAGGUCUUCGGAUCGUAAAACUCUGUUAUUAGGGAAGAACAAAUGUGUAAGUAACUAUGCACGUCUUGACGGUACCUAAUCAGAAAGCCACGGCUAACUACGUG
rnacentral:rRNA from 1 species